rnacentral:lncRNA from 1 species
GUCUCGAAGACCAAGCAUAAGAUCAAACACAGGAUUAUCUGAAGUUGCAUCUUCUAGCAGACGAGGAGGAAGAAGGGCACCACCUCCAGCACCAGUUGUGGAGGAAGAGGAACAUUUUGAUCCGGAUGCUGAUGAGGUGCCAGAGUGCAAAUAUGGCAUAAGAGCCAUUCCUACUCAUACUAUACAGUGGUUCCAGUCCUUUGUACCUGCUGUGUUAUUUUGAUCCGGAUGCUGAUGGGGUGAUAGAGUGAAAGUAUGGCAUAAGAGCCAUUACGAUUCAUACUAUAUAGUGGUUCCAGUCCUUUGUACCUGCUCUGUUACCAAAUCCUGAAGUAGUAAUUUAAAUAGCAAAACUUGCUCGUAAGUAUAAUACAAUAUAUACUAACAUUCGAGCUUUGGGUUUUGAAGGGCUAUUUCACCACGGCGAUAGUGUGAACAUCAAAUUGGUGAAGGAAUUUUGUGUUAAUUGGCAACCAGAAGGUAAUUUAACGGUCAUAAUCACAUUUUCUUAAACGGUCAUAAAUCAAACUAUGGGUUUCACGGAGCACUCCCAUAAGCUAUUUUAGCGGUUUCUUCGUAGACCG